GUGUUCCUUUGAAUUCUUUUGCUUAGCAAGAAUUUCUAAGGAGAUAAACUACCUCCCAUUUGGUUUAUGUUUUCCCAUUUAUGAGUGGCCUCUGAUGUGAGAAUGGCAAGGUCUCUGGACCGCUUUCCUCAGAGGGUAUGCAAUAGGUGGAAGAAGUGGGAUCUCAACCCAAGUCAGUGAAAUUGACAGUUGCACUAUUCUGGAAUGGCAGAGCUAUUAGAGUUCUAUUUGGCUGCUAUGUUGCUCUUACAGACAAGACUCAGCCACAUUUGGAAACCCAGCAGGCUUAUGAUACAAAUUCAUCCAUUUGGCCAAGUUGUUGGAUGUAGGUCGACGCAUCAACAUUUCAUAAAGAGUUCAUUCACCAUGUGACAGCCUUAUCCCUACUGCUUGUACAAGUGUCACCCUGUUACAAGAUAGC
rnacentral:lncRNA from 1 species